UUUUGUAAGACAGAUGUGAAAUCCCCGGGCUUAACCUGGGAACUGCGUUUGUGACUGCAAGGCUAGAGUACGGCAGAGGGGGGUGGAAUUCCUGGUGUAGCAGUGAAAUGCGUAGAUAUCAGGAGGAACACCGAUGGCGGAGGCAGCCCCCUGGGCCUGUACUGACGCUCAUGCACGAAAGCGUGGGAGCAAACAGGAUUAGAUACCCUGGUAGUCCACGCCCUAAACGAUGUCGACUAGUCGUUCGGAGCAGCAAUGCACUGAGUGACGCAGCUAACGCGUGAAGUCGACCGCCUGGGGAGUACGGCCGCAAGGUUAAAACUCAAAGGAAUUGACGGGGACCCGCACAAGCGGUGGAUGAUGUGGAUUAAUUCGAUGCAACGCGAAAAACCUUACCUACCCUUGACAUGUCUGGAACCUUGCUGAGAGGCGAGAGUGCCUUCGGGAGCCAGAACACAGGUGCUGCAUGGCUGUCGUCAGCUCGUGUCGUGAGAUGUUGGGUUAAGUCCCGCAACGAGCGCAACCCUUGUCACUAGUUGCCAUCAUUUGGUUGGGCACUCUAGUGAGACUGCCGGUGACAAACCGGAGGAAGGUGGGGAUGACGUCAAGUCCUCAUGGCCCUUAUGGGUAGGGCUUCACACGUCAUACAAUGGUCGGUACAGAGGGUUGCCAAGCCGCGAGGUGGAGCCAAUCCCUUAAAGCCGAUCGUAGUCCGGAUCGUAGUCUGCAACUCGACUACGUGAAGUCGGAAUCGCUAGUAAUCGCAGAUCAGCAACGCUGCGGUGAAUACGUUCCCGGGCCUUGUACACACCGCCCGU
rnacentral:rRNA from 1 species